CCUACGGGAGGCCGCAGUGAGGAAUAUUGGUCAAUGGGCGGAAGCCUGAACCAGCCAAGUCGCGUGAGGGAAUACGGCCCUACGGGUCGUAAACCUCUUUUGCCGGGGAGCAAGGGCGGGGACGUGUCCCGGCCCGGAGAGUACCCGGAGAAAAAGCAUCGGCUAACUCCGUGCCAGCAGCCGCGGUAAUACGGAGGAUGCGAGCGUUAUCCGGAUUUAUUGGGUUUAAAGGGUGCGUAGGCGGGCUUUUACGUCAGCGGUAACAAUUCGGGGCUCAACCCCUUCCCGCCAUUGAAACUGGCGCUCUUGAGUGGAAGAGAAGUAUGCGGAAUGCGUGGUGUAGCGGUGAAAUGCAUAGAUAUCACGCAGAACCCCGAUUGCGAAGGCAGCAUGCCGGCUUCCGACUGACGCUGAAGCACGAAAGCGUGGGGAUCGAACAGGAUUAGAUACCCUUGUAGUC
rnacentral:rRNA from 1 species